rnacentral:lncRNA from 1 species
GACGAAAUCCAAACUCGAUAUAGAGAAAGAAACGCAAACCGAUCUGAGCAUCAACGAAAAUCUCCCAAAUAAAUGACUUGAGCCCUGUCUCGAAAGCCCCCAAAAACACAAUAUCGGAGAACAAAUAUUAAAGAAAUGAAAUCCCAAAAUUUCUGGAAUCUCACCGAGACCUAACGAUCAGUCCAAACCCGAGCUCUGACGUGCUGUGAAGAGCAAAAC